rnacentral:rRNA from 1 species
AUUGAACGCUGGCGGCAUGCCUUACACAUGCAAGUCGAACGGUAACAGGUCUUCGGAUGCUGACGAGUGGCGAACGGGUGAGUAAUACAUCGGAACGUGCCCGAGAGUGGGGGAUAACGAAGCGAAAGCUUUGCUAAUACCGCAUACGAUCUCAGGAUGAAAGCAAGGGACCGCAAGGCCUUGCGCUCACGGAGCGGCCGAUGGCAGAUUAGGUAGUUGGUGGGAUAAAAGCUUACCAAGCCGACGAUCUGUAGCUGGUCUGAGAGGACGACCAGCCACCCUGGGAGUGAGACACGGCCCAGACUCCUACGGGAGGCAGCAGUGGGGAAUUUUGGACAAUGGGCGCAAGCCUGAUCCAGCCAUGCCGCGUGCAGGAUGAAGGCCUUCGGGUUGUAAACUGCUUUUGUACGGAACGAAAAGACUCUGGUUAAUACCUGGGGUCCAUGACGGUACCGUAAGAAUAAGCACCGGCUAACUACGUGCCAGCCGCCGCAGUAACAC